rnacentral:rRNA from 1 species
AUUGAACGCUGGCGGCAGGCCUAACACAUGCAAGUCGAACGAGUGGCGGACGGGUGAGUAAUGUCUGGGAAACUGCCUGAUGGAGGGGGAUAACUACUGGAACCGGUAGCUAAUACCGCAUACCAUCGGAUGUGCCCAGAUGGGAUUAGCUAGUAGGUGGGGUAAAGGCUAACCUAGGCGACGAUCCCUCGCUGGUCUGAGAGGAUGACAAGCCACACUGGAACUGAGACACGGUCCAGACUCCUACGGGAGGCAGCAGUGGGGAAUAUUGCACAAGGGGCGCAAGCCUGAUGCAGCCAUGCCGCGUGUAUGAAGAAGGCCUUAGGGUUGUAAAGUACUUUCAGCGGGGAGGCGUUACCCGCAGAAGAAGCACCGGCUAACUCCGUGCCAGCAGCCGCGGUAAUAC